CACGCCAUAAACGAUGAGUGCUAGGUGUUGGGGGUCAAACCUCGGUGCCGCAGUUAACGCAUUAAGCACUCCGCCUGGGGAGUACGUUCGCAAGAAUAAAACUCAAAGGAAUUGACGGGGACCCGCACAAGCAGCGGAGCAUGUGGUUUAAUUCGAUGCAACGCGAAGAACCUUACCAGGGCUUGACAUGUGGGUGAAAGCUGUAGAGAUACAGCCCUCUCUUCGGAGACAUCCAUACAGGUGG
rnacentral:rRNA from 1 species